rfam:Mesorhizobium sp. Root554 contig_1, whole genome shotgun sequence.
CCGUUCAACUCGUUCCUCCAGCGAGGGGAACUACGGGAG